rnacentral:rRNA from 1 species
UACGUAGGGUGCGAGCGUUGUCCGGAAUUAUUGGGCGUAAAGGGCUCGUAGGCGGUUUGUCGCGUCGGGAGUGAAAACCAGGUGCUUAACCCCUGGCUUGCUUUCGAUACGGGCAGACUAGAGGUAUGCAGGGGAGAACGGAAUUCCUGGUGUAGCGGUGAAAUGCGCAGAUAUCAGGAGGAACACCGGUGGCGAAGGCGGGUCUCUGGGCCGAUACUGACGCUGAGGAGCGAAAGCGUGGGGAGCAAACAGG